rnacentral:rRNA from 1 species
UACGUAGGGUGCGAGCGUUAAUCGGAAUUACUGGGCGUAAAGCGUGCGCAGGCGGCGCGUUAAGACAGGUGUGAAAGCCCCGAGCUUAACUUGGGAAUUGCGCUUGUGACUGGCGUGCUGGAGUGUGGCAGAGGGAGGUGGAAUUCCACGUGUAGCAGUGAAAUGCGUAGAGAUGUGGAGGAACACCGAUGGCGAAGGCAGCCUCCUGGGCCAGCACUGACGCUCAUACACGAAAGCGUGGGGAGCAAACAGG